rnacentral:misc_RNA from 1 species
UAAAUGCUUAUAAGUUCAAAUUAGUUUAUAAGCAUGGUUUUAAAUAAUAAUGGCCAUUAUUUAGAGGUUUUUUUGGCUUAACGUUAUCGUUAUUACCGUUAUUUAACGGAUUUUUAAAUUUGUAACUGUAAAGGCCAUUACUGCCAUUAUGUAAAGGUAAUGAUGGCCGUUAUUUAACGGUAAUGGCCAUUACUUUUCUAGCUAAGAAUUUUGGGCUUUUUUUUU